rnacentral:rRNA from 1 species
UACAUAGGGCGCAAGCGUUGUCCGGAAUUAUUGGGCGUAAAGAGCUCGUAGGCGGCUUGUCGCGUCGAUUGUGAAAGCCCGGGGCUUAACCUCGGGUCUGCAUUCGAUACUGCAGUGCUUGAGGACUGGAGAGGAGACUGGAAUUCAUGGUGUAGCAGUGAAAUGCGUAGAGAUCAUGAGGAAGACCAGUGGCGAAGGCGGGUCUCUGGACAGUUCCUGACACUGAGGCACGAAGGCCAGGGGAGCAAACGGG